UAGUAUAAUCGGAAGUACAAGGGAUUUUGAGUCUUUUGGUGCAGGUUCGAGGCCUGUUUUUCUA
rnacentral:tRNA from 1 species